rnacentral:rRNA from 1 species
UACGGAGGGUGCGAGCGUUGUCCGGAAUCACUGGGCGUAAAGGGCGCGUAGGCGGGCUGCCAAGUUUGGGGUGAAAUCCUCCGGCUCAACCGGGGAAGUGCCUUGAAUACUGGCGGUCUGGAGGGAGGUAGGGGCGUGCGGAACUAACGGUGGAGCGGUGAAAUGCGUUGAUAUCGUUAGGAACUCCGGUGGCGAAGGCGGCACGCUGGACCUUUUCUGACGCUGAGGCGCGAAAGCCAGGGGAGCGAACGGG